CCCGUGCCGCGACUGCAAGUCAGCGAGCUUUUUUUCUUGAACAAGUCGGUUCCGAUUAUUGCCGAAGAUGACGUCACCCUGCGCGCCGAGCUGCCUCCGAUCUGCGGCGACGCUCGGCUGUUCCGAGUCCGGGAGGAGGAUGCUCCAGAUGUUGAAGUGCUGGGGAUUUCUGUUGGAGAGAGAGGAGACACUGAUCGCAACAAGCGACAGAUCAAGGGGCUUUCAUCAAUGCUUUCAUCAACACUCCAUGGCCGUAUAAGGAUAAAAUACGUUUGCUGCUGGUUUGUAAUAAUCGUUUGUGACUAGUGUCAUCAUCUUUCUCUCGCUUCCCCAUUCCAAGCAGUUUUCAUGUGCACAGCUAUGUCCACUGUCAUGACUGUUGAAGCAGCCACGCCAUUGAAACUGCCUUUGUCAAAAAGGUUAUGUUUAAUGUCAUUUCUCCUUCUCCAUGGACAACAUAUCCCCAGAAGUUGUACAUGUAUUUGGGUAGAGAAGAUGAUCAACUAAUAUGAUGUAUGCAAAUGCAGAGCUUAUUUCUAUAACCAAUGAGAAACAUUUGUAAUACAUCACUUCAAGGGUUAACAUCUUUGGUGAUGGCAUGAGAUCAUGGAACUCUAGUUGUCACUGGACUACACAAAAAUUAACAUGAAAUGUCGAACGUGGGUGACAAUGUAUACUUUGGCUUUAUAAAGGGGCAUACUGGGAGGCUAUCUCACCUUUAAUUACAGUGCUUGUAUGUUUGACACUGAGGGAGACAUCCUGUUUACACAUAAAACUUAGCUAGAUUACGUAGUUUGUGCACAGUGUAAACAUUUCACUCCUUUGUCUAUGUGUAUUUGUUAGAGGUGAACUGAUGAAAGAGACCAAAUUUGCCACAUUUCUUAUAAAACAUCUUUUAAUGUCAGAACGAACUUUGUACACAUAACAAAAACAUUUGCCACAGCACUACAGAAUAAAUAUGCUACCUAACAAACUAUCCAGACAUGUAGAACAACUAUCCUUGGUGUGGACUGCAACAAUACCGGCUGAGAUACAUUUUGUAACUGUGUAAUAAUAUGGUUUUGAGAAACGCUUAAAGAAUAUUGAAUUUCCGAUAUCAUGUGUCAAGGCACUGCUCUGAUCUGCAGUUAUUGCUUGAUUCCUGCUAGUGCGUCCCCUGUACUGACUCCUUUUGGUUACAUCUCAAGCCUUACAUGGGCUGUAAAUAGUGCUAACUUUAUAGAAUUCUUGUCAUAUUGGGACUGAUUCCACAAAUGGCUUUGUGCAUUUAUAGCUAUGUUUGUGUCUAUAUAAAAUGAUUCUGUGCGUCAGCUUUGUGUAGUUCCAACUGGUUAACAUAAUGUGCAUUUGCCUCUAAUAAACAUAGACUUCUAAUAGACAUAUAAAGGUGAUGACUUCUGAGUAUCUCCCACAGUGAAGCCUUUACUCUAUCUAACAUAAGUUAUCUUAACUUCUCCAUGUCUUUGAUCGUGGAGCUUUAAAACUUCGUACAUUUUCUGGCUUACAAUUUUGGUAAACUAUUUGCUGCGACUCCCUCAAAGUGGCUAGAAUAUCAGCACAAGCUCCAUAGAGCAUGUGUGGUACAGACAAUACUGUUCUUGUUAAACACAGAGGUACCAGAAGCAGAGUUGUUUCCCCUGCCUCGUGUUGACAAUAUAUAAAGCACUGUUUCA